rnacentral:rRNA from 1 species
AGAGUUUGAUCAUGGCUCAGGACGAACGCUGGCGGCGUGCCUAAUACAUGCAAGUCGAGCGAGCUUGCCUAGAUGAUUUUGGUGCUUGCACUAAAUGAAACUAGAUACAAGCGAGCGGCGGACGGGUGAGUAACACGUGGGUAACCUGCCCAAGAGACUGGGAUAACACCUGGAAACAGAUGCUAAUACCGGAUAACAACACUAGACGCAUGUCUAGAGUUUGAAAGAUGGUUCUGCUAUCACUCUUGGAUGGACCUGCGGUGCAUUAGCUAGUUGGUAAGGUAACGGCUUACCAAGGCAAUGAUGCAUAGCCGAGUUGAGAGACUGAUCGGCCACAUUGGGACUGAGACACGGCCCAAACUCCUACGGGAGGCAGCAGUAGGGAAUCUUCCACAAUGGACGAAAGUCUGAUGGAGCAACGCCGCGUGAGUGAAGAAGGGUUUCGGCUCGUAAAGCUCUGUUGGUAGUGAAGAAAGAUAGAGGUAGUAACUGGCCUUUAUUUGACGGUAAUUACUUAGAAAGUCACGGCUAACUACGUGCCAGCAGCCGCGGUAAUACGUAGGUGGCAAGCGUUGUCCGGAUUUAUUGGGCGUAAAGCGAGUGCAGGCGGUUCAAUAAGUCUGAUGUGAAAGCCUUCGGCUCAACCGGAGAAUUGCAUCAGAAACUGUUGAACUUGAGUGCAGAAGAGGAGAGUGGAACUCCAUGUGUAGCGGUGGAAUGCGUAGAUAUAUGGAAGAACACCAGUGGCGAAGGCGGCUCUCUGGUCUGCAACUGACGCUGAGGCUCGAAAGCAUGGGUAGCGAACAGGAUUAGAUACCCUGGUAGUCC